rnacentral:rRNA from 1 species
AGAGUUUGAUCAUGGCUCAGAAUCAACGCUGGCGGCGUGCCUAACACAUGCAAGUCGAACGAGAAAGCUUGGUAGCAAUACCGGGUGAGUAAAGUGGCGCACGGGUGAGUAACACGUGGAUAACCUACCUCCGAAUGGGGAAUAACCCUGGGAAACCGGGGCUAAUACCGCAUAAUAUCCCGAUACUUCGGUAAUGGGAUUGAAACUUGGUAACGAGGUUUGGAGAGGGGUCCGCGGCUGAUUAGCUAGUUGGUGAGGUAAUGGCCCACCAAGGCUAUGAUCGGUAGCCGGCCUGAGAGGGCGGACGGCCACACUGGAACUGAAACACGGUCCAGACUCCUACGGGAGGCAGCAGUGGGGAAUUUUGCGCAAUGGGGGCAACCCUGACGCAGCAACGCCGCGUGGACGAUGAAGCAUCUUGGUGUGUAAAGUCCUUUCGGCAGGGACGAAACCCGAGCAAUCGGGCGGACGGUACCUGAAGAAGAAGCCCCGGCUAACUCCGUGCCAGCAGCCGCGGUAAUACGGGGGGGGCGAGCGUUGUUCGGAAUUAUUGGGCGUAAAGGGAGCGUAGGCGGUGCGGUAAGACUGGUGUGAAACCUUCAGGCUUAACUUGGAGCUUGCAUCAGUGACUGCCGUGCUAGAGUGCGGGAGAGGAUAGUGGAAUUCCCGGUAGCGGUGAAAUGCGUAGAUAUCGGGAGGAACAUCGGUGGCGAAGGCGGCUAUCUGGACCGUAACUGACGCUGAGGCUCGAAAGCUAGGGGAGCAAACAGGAUUAGAUACCCUAGUAGUCC